rnacentral:rRNA from 1 species
GACGGAGGGUGCUAGCGUUGUUCGGAAUCACUGGGCGUAAAGGGCGCGUAGGCGGCCUUGCAAGUCGGUUGGUGAAAGCCCGGGGCUCAACCCCGGAAAGCGGGUGGAUACUGCCGGGCUAGAAUCCGGAAGAGGCGAGUGGAAUUCCUGGUGUAGCGGUGAAAUGCGCAGAUAUCAGGAGGAACACCAAUGGCGAAGGCAGCUCGCUGGGACGGUACUGACGCUGAGGCGCGAAAGCGUGGGGAGCAAACAGG